UCAAAGCCUUGGUACAAAUAAAUAUUUUACUUCAUAAAAAAAUUGAUCCUAAUGAGUAGUCAAGUUUUAAAUGGUUAAGAAUAUGAUUUAAUACCAUAAUAUUUUAACUUUCCUCAGGCUUAAAGUGCAAUUUAAUUUUGAAUGGAAAUUAAAUAGAUGCAACAAGAAAAAUAGUAGCAACAUUUGACAGUGGCUUCACAUAUGUGACUGGAACCAGAUGCUGAGGAUUUAACAGGUCCUAAACUUGACUUGUGGUGGUACCUGGAAGUCAAGGAUGAUACUUUCGUGUCUCCUCUCUGUUGUCUUGAAGAAACAAUACAAUGAGGUCAGGGACACUGGCUGAGAUUUGAGUAUUUGCUGGUAAUUGGAUGUGUGUCUCCAGGAAAUUCUGAUUAGGAUGAAACUACAGCUGACCCUUUUCUCAACUUCACUUUUAAACAAGGGAAAAAAAAUUGACUCACAACUCCACAAAUUUUGAAAAUCAAAGAAUUGUACCCUUAAAAAAACAUUUCUAAAGAGAAAAAAUAUGAACUCUGUGAAGAAAUCAAGGAACCCUAUGGUAUUUUAACAUAAAUUUAUGUAACAAGAGAUAAUUUUCACAGUGCAUCCUCCCCAACACAUACCUUCAAACAUUUUUGGAACCAUUUCGGAUUUUUAGUGAAAUGCAUGGAAUUUAUAGUACUCUUCUCCUAGUCUUCUUAACAUUAUUUUUUCUGCAUAAUUUUUAUUUUACUUUUUUGCUUCUCUCUAGUGUAAGUUUGGAUGACUAUUCACCAAUCACUUCUCUCUGGUGUCUGAUCAAAGCCUUUUGCCCUUUUUUCAGAAGGUUCAGAACCAAUUUUCUCAUUCUCCUUUUCAGAUUGUCCCAUGGUUAUAUCUCCCAUCACCUUGAACACUCUAAGAUGCGCCACUUGCUCUCCUCCCCAGGGAGUGCUGUCCCCUCCUCUGGUGAUCUUGCUUGACUGUCAGCUCUUUGAGGCAGCCAGCACCCACAUCUUCCUUGUUCACAGGGAAUCCCCAGAGCUGUACACAGUGCCUGGCUCCAAACAGACACUCAUGACAUUCCUGGGGAAUGCAGCUCUCAAGAAACGAAAAAAUCCUCUCGUGACUUUUAUGGAGGAAAUAGCUCUGGCCUUCUUCAGAACUCACACAUCCCUUCCAUUUCCACUCCCCUCACAGGCACUAAAUCAUGCAACAAAUGUGUAUUGAGCAUUCAGGAUAAAGCACUUUAGGCCACUCACAGCUUCACUAUUCUUUUUUUUUUAUGGCUGGAUACUUAAAGUGUUAAUGUAGCUAUGACCCUUGGCCUCCAUGCUGUUCCUGCUGCAGGUCCUACAAAACCAACCCCUUUACACAGCCUUGGAGCACUACACUCUACACAGAGGGAUUCCCUUCCAUGCCAACCCUCUUCUUACUUGUUACCAAGAACCUUUGUGUUCCCUCUCCUGGGUGCCUGUGCUCUCAAGAACACGCCAUGUCUCCCAGCCAUCCCUUCCUUAAUUAAACUUGUCCUUGAGUCUGAAAUGCCUGCCAUGCCCUAACUUCUUUGGGUCACAGCUGAACUGCACCCUUUCCCAUGAAGUUUUUUCUUGGAAAUUCCCUGCUGCUGCACCGCUAUCACCAGCUUUCAGGCACUUAUCACAAACUGCCAGGCUGCAGCUCUGAGAAUGCUUUGCAUGUCAUGUUGGGUAAGAAAGGUGUCUCCUCUAAUUCUUUAGCAUUUGGUCAAAGCAAGGAGCCAAAGGAGAAGAGGAAAGGCAAGUAAGUCUUACCCAGGACACAUAAUAAAUCAGAGAGUGAAAGAAUGAAAAGAUGGAAAAGGAAGCUUUUCAAAAGGGAUUUUCUAGACCAGGGGUUGGGAAACUUUUUUCAGUUAAGGAUUGGACAGUAAAUAUUUUAAUCUUUGUGAUCUACAUGGUUUCAGUCACAGUCACUCUGCCUUUGCAGCACGGAAGCAGCAGACAAUACUUAAACAAAUGACAGUGGCUAUGUUCCAAAAAACCUGGAAUUUAAAUAUGUAAUUUUCACAUCAUGAAACAUAUUCUUUUGAUUUUUUUCCUAACUAUUAAAAAAAGUAAAGCCACUCUUAUGUGUGGAUGAUGCAAAUAUGGGCAGCAGAACAGAUUUGGUCCAUGGGCCCUGGUGGAGCAACCUUGGUUCUACAUGAGACAUUCUUAAAAUUUUUUGAACAAUUUAUAAAAAGUAUGUGCCUCUGUCUAGGGUGGGGAAAACCCCUCUACUCAGAUGCACAAAAUGUCUGGAACCUUCUAAAGGGUUCCAUAGGCAUGGGUUAGGAAACCAGGAUCCAGAAAUACCCUUUCUCUUUUUUAAAGAGUUCUGAUGGUGGAAGGGGGAGCCAAAAUAAUUCUUUUUCUUUUCUUUUCUUUUCUUUUUUUUUUGGUAUGGGGAACUUGGGACCUUUCACUUGCAAGGCAGGCUGUGGAACCACUGAGCUAAAUCCCUGGCCCAAAAUAUUUCUUUUUCAUGAUUAAUGCUGGUGCUAAGUAGCUUUAUCUGUUAAAGCCAUAAAUUACUCAGGUUCAGAAGUCAGUACUGUAAAGCAACUUUUUCCUAAUUGAAAACAUUCAGUAAUGGAAUGCAGGAAGUUAGCCAGGAAGCUCAUGUGUAUCAGCCCCUUCUCUGCCUAUUUCUAGAUAAAGUUUAAUGAACCUGGAUCCUCUACUACCUUUGUCAUUUCCAUGGCCCAAAGUGUACUCUGUACCUUGGUGCUCAGCAAAGGCAGGUCACUAGUCGAGCAGACAGUUCUUUUUAAAUUUUUAAAGUAAACAUACUUCUCUUCCAUUGCAGCCCUGAGAUCAUGCCAGGCUAAGAUGUCAGGGUCAUGAAAGAGAUAUAAACAAAUGGUUCAACUGAACGUUUUACUGAAAGGUACUGCAUUAGUCCAGAAACAUCCAACAAGCAGGAUUGCUUGAUAUCUGCUGAUUUUAUUCUUCAAAGAGAGAGGCAAAUACUGAGUAGACUUUCUCUCUGUAAUGGUUGAGGGAUGGUAAGAAAUGAGCCGCACCUGCAGUUAGGCCUUCCGCUGAGCCCACGGUAUUGAAUUAAUUCUAUGUUAGGUGGAAUAACUCCACAAGCUUUGCUAACCUUGGGACCUGUAAAGUCCAAGGGGAAUAUAGCUGAUAUUAAUACUAACACAACAGAGUAAUUUCUGAACAUAAUAAUGAGAGUGUGUGCCCAUGUGUUGUCUGCCAGGAACUGUUCUAAGAACCCGACAUAAAGCUCAAGACCACCUGUGAAGUAGGUACUCUUGUUGUUUUGUUUUGCAGAUGAGGAAACUGAAGUGCAGAGAGGACAGUAACUGGGCCAGGAUCACUCAACUGGAAAGUAUCCUAGAUUUCACCUGCUGGAAGCAACAGACACAUGGCCUCCUCGGAACACGAAUAAGGGAAACAUGAGCAGACGGAGCAAGAGAGGUGCUGCCCCUUGCAAGGCAGAUCAGUCCAGAAAUCAGUGAAUUACGGGGUAACACAGCAGCAGCUUCCUGCAUGAGACACCCAGCUGUGCCCGAGGGAGGGACAUACUCAGGACAGAGGCUUUACCCACUUGAUGUUGAUGAUCCCAAAGGAGACUCUAUGCUCUGCUGUCCAACACAGUGAGUACUGCAGAUUCCUAGAACUUGGGGAUUUGAAAGUAUGCUGGAGAUCACCUCAUACAAACACCUCUGGACGUCAUCUAUAGCCUUGCUCUGGGAUCACCUCCUUCAAGGAGACUUCCUAGGACCACAGAGGACCGACAUGCCAUUUUUUUGUGUGCAAUGCUAUUCCUAGCAUUUGGCAUAGCAUUUUAAGAUUGCCUGUCUAGGAAAAUAGAAAUUUUCACUUUUCACCUAUCUUACUUGUAAAAUAUUUAAAAGAUGUAUGAUUCUAUUGUUGGUAGUGAUGGAAGAAAUGUUUACUUCGAACACUGAUGAUGAAAAUGUCAAAUGUUAGAUUAUUUGAAAGCUACCUAGUAAUACAUAUUAAAAUCACCAAUUUUUUAAAGAACCAUCUCAAGAGGCUGAAAAUGAGUGUCAAGUUACUAAACAUAAAGUUUGUAGAAGAAAAUAAAUAGUAAAGUUAAAAACAAUGACCAAUAUAAAACACGUAAUAGAGAAAAAUCAACAAAGACAAAAAUUAGUUCUAUAAUGAGACAGUAUAAUUGCUAAUAUAGUAAUAGAUGAGGGCAAAGAAAUACAAAUGCCCAAUAUCAGAAAUGAACAGUGGAACAUCACAAUAGACUUCACCAGUCUAUUGCACCAGACACUAAAGAAUACAAGGGAUCAUGUGAACAUUUUUUCCAGUAAAUUAUAAAAUUUGAAAAAUGGAAGAAUUCCUUGAAAAAUAAUUUAUGAGACAAGAACAUCUGAAUAGUCUUAUAUUCCAUAACCUUAUUGAAUCCAUAAAUAAAAAUCUUUAAUAAAGAAGAAGCCAAGUCCAAGUAGCUUAAUCAGCAAACAAACCCCUUGUUAUUUUUCCAAAUAAGUUGAAACCUUAUGUCCACACAUAAACCUACACACAAAUGUUUAUAGCACCAUAAAUUAUAAUUGACAAAACUUGCAAGCAACCAAGAAGUCCUUAAAUCGUGCAUGACUAGAUAAACAGACUGUAGUAGAGCCAUACAAUAAAUUAUUAUUCAGUGAUAUAAGAAAUAAGUUAUCAAGCCACAAAAAGACAUGGAAGAACCUCAAAAGCACAUUUUUCUAAGUGAAGUAAGCCAAUCUGAAAGGCUACAUAUUGUAUUAACCGCUGACUUUCUGGAAGAGGAAAACUAUGGAGACCAGUGAAGAGAGCAGUGGUUGCUUGGUGGAAGGGAGGAAUGAGUAGGUGGAGCACAAGGGAGUUUCAGCAGUGAAAUUACUCCAUAUGAUACUGCAACGGUGGGUGCAUGUGAUAUAUUUGGCAAAAUCAACAGUCUACCCUAAUAUAAACUAUGGACUUCAGUUAAUACCAAUGCGUCCAUCAAUAUUCAAGGGCUCAUCAGCUGUAAUAAAUGUAUCACACAUAAUGCAGGAUGUUAAAAGGAAAAACUGGGUAGGGGGGAUG